rnacentral:rRNA from 1 species
GGCAGCAGUGGGGAAUAUUGCACAAUGGGCGAAAGCCUGAUGCAGCAACGCCGCGUGAAGGAUGAAGGCCCUUGGGUCGUAAACUUCUGUUCUAAGGGAAGAUAAUGACGGUACCUUAGGAGCAAGUCCCGGCUAACUACGUGCCAGCAGCCGCGGUAAUACGUAGGGGGCGAGCGUUAUCCGGAAUUAUUGGGCGUAAAGAGUACGUAGGUGGUUUCCUAAGCGAGGGGUUUAAGGCAAUAGCUUAACUAUUGUUCGCCCCCCGAACUGGGUAACUUGAGUGCUGGAGAGGAAAGCGGAAUUCCUAGUGUAGCGGUGAAAUGCGUAGAUAUUAGGAGGAACACCAGUGGCGAAGGCGGCUUUCUGGACAGUAACUGACACUGAGGUACGAAAGUGUGGGGAGCAAACAGGAUUAGAUACCCUGGUAGUCCACACCGUAAACGAUGAGCACUAGGUGUCGGGUUCGCAAGAACUCGGUGCCGCAGUUAACGCAUUAAGUGCUCCGCCUGGGGAGUACGUACGCAAGUAUGAAACUCAAAGGAAUUGACGGGGACCCGCACAAGCAGCGGAGCAUGUGGUUUAAUUCGAAGCAACGCGAAGAACCUUACCAGGACUUGACAUCCCUCUGACAGCUUUGAUAACGAUAAGCUUUCUUCGGACAGAGGUGACAGGUGGUGCAUGGUUGUCGUCAGCUCGUGUCGUGAGAUGUUGGGUUAAGUCCCGCAACGAGCGCAACCCUUGUCUUUAGUUGCCAUCAUUAAGUUGGGCACUCUAAAGAGACUGCCGGGGACAACUCGGAGGAAGGUGGGGAUGACGUCAAA